AGUUCACUUCUUCAGUUGGGCAGGUUGUGGGGUUCUGACCCCCACAGCAGUGUCUAGGGGUGAACGUUUACAGCUGAGGCCCCAGUGGGCGUGUGUUA